CCUACGGGAGGCAGCAGUGGGGAAUAUUGGACAAUGGGGGGAACCCUGAUCCAGCCAUGCCGCGUGUGUGAAGAAGGCCCUCGGGUUGUAAAGCACUUUCAGUGAGGAAGAACGCCUGGUGGUUAAUACCCAUCAGGAAAGACAUCACUCACAGAAGAAGCACCGGCUAACUCCGUGCCAGCAGCCGCGGUAAUACGGAGGGUGCGAGCGUUAAUCGGAAUUACUGGGCGUAAAGCGCGCGCAGGUGGCUUGAUAAGCCGGUUGUGAAAGCCCCGGGCUCAACCUGGGAACGGCAUCCGGAACUGUCAAGCUAGAGUGCAGGAGAGGAAGGUAGAAUUCCCGGUGUAGCGGUGAAAUGCGUAGAGAUCGGGAGGAAUACCAGUGGCGAAGGCGGCCUUCUGGACUGACACUGACACUGAGGUGCGAAAGCGUGGGUAGCAAACAGGAUUAGAUACCCUUGUAGUC
rnacentral:rRNA from 1 species